AUUCAUUUAGUAUAAAAAGUAUACUAAGCUUCCAACUUAAUGGUUAAUUAAUUUAAAUGAAUA
rnacentral:tRNA from 1 species